GGGAGCGAAGCUCAAGUGGCUGAGCGGCCGGUUGUUAACCGGAUGGAUGUUGGUUCGAGCCCAACCGUUCCCG
rnacentral:tRNA from 1 species